rnacentral:rRNA from 1 species
AAUCUUGCGCAAUGGGCGAACGCCUGACGCAGCCAUGCCGCGUGCAUGAUGAAGGUCUNCGGAUUNUNAAAUUCUUUCACCGGGGNCGAUAAUGACGGUACCCGGAGAAGAAGCCCCGGCUAACUUCGUGCCCGCAGCCGCGGUAAUACGAAGGGGGCUAGCGUUGCUCGGAAUUACUGGGCGUAAAGGGCGCGUAGGCGGAUCGUUAAGUCAGAGGUGAGAUCCCAGGGCUCAACACUGGAACAGCCUUUGAUACUGGCGAUGUUGAGUAUGAAAGAGGUAUGUGGAACUCCGAGUGUAGAGGUGAAAUUCGUAGAUAUUCGGAAGAACACCAGUGGCGAAGGCGACAUACUGGCUCAUUACUGACGCUGAGGCGCGAAAGCGUGGGGAGCAAACA